UACGUAGGGUGCGAGCGUUAAUCGGAAUUACUGGGCGUAAAGCGUGCGCAGGCGGUAAGUUAAGUCUGAUGUGAAAGCCCCGGGCUCAACCUGGGAAUGGCAUUGGAAACUGGCUUGCUAGAGUGUGGCAGAGGGGGGUGGAAUUCCGCGUGUAGCAGUGAAAUGCGUAGAGAUGCGGAGGAACACCGAUGGCGAAGGCAGCCCCCCUGGGCUGACACUGACGCUCAGGCACGAAAGCGUGGGGAGCAAACAGG
rnacentral:rRNA from 1 species